rnacentral:rRNA from 1 species
GAUGAACGCUGGCGGCGUGCCUAAUACAUGCAAGUCGAGCGAACAGAUAAGGAGCUUGCUUCUUUGCAGUUAGCGGCGGACGGGUGAGUCAUACGUAGGUAACUUACCUAUAAGACUGGCAUAACUCCGGGAAACCGGGUAUCACGCCGGAUAACAUUUAGAACCGCAUGGUUCUAAGGACAAAGAUGUAUUUGCUAACACUUAUAGAUGGUCCCGCGCCGUAUUAGCUAGUUGGUAAGGUAACGGCUUACCAAGGCAACGAUACGUAACUGACCUGAGAGGGUGAUCAGCCACACUGGAACUGAGACACGGUCCAGACUCCUACGGGAGGCAGCAGUGGGGAAUCUUCCGCAAUGGGCGAAAGCCUGACCGAGCAAUGCCGCGUGAGUGAAGAAGGUCUUCGGAUCGUAAAGCUCUUUAAGUUGGGAGGAAGAAAAGUAAGUGAAUCUGUUCAUGUCUUGACGUUACCAACACAAAAAGCCACGGCUAACUACGUG